CCAACAUAUUCUACUAUAAAUGGAGUAAUUAAAACCUUUCAACAAGCGAGUAAAAAAUGGAAAUAUUCUUUCGUUAUAUUUUUUGUAAAUAAUAUCUUCUAAUGGAAUAUGUUUCAAGACGAAAGGACGUAAACCAGCUACAAUAUAUUACUAUUUAAGGAUCUAAUUUGUUAUAGAUACUCUUGAGUCUAAUAUCUAAAGUAGUCCAAGAUAAAAAAACGAGACAUCGUUAUAAACAUUGGAAACGUAUUUUGUCAAUACCAAUAUUGUAUUUAUUUUAGAAUUAAUAAUUAUAAUUUUUAAUUGGUUUUGUUUCAUAACGUAGCUAAUUAUGUACCAGAGUAUGCCUUUAUCUUUUAAUCUGAUAGCCAAAAUAUCUCAAGAGGAAAUUUGAGAUACUGUUACAAAUCAUUAACAUCAUUAUCAAUUUUUCUUUAUUUUUAUUAUUUUCUUAUCGAUGCAUUAAAUUCGCCAUUGACAAUGUUAGGUGCUUUACCCGAACAAGUAACUGUUAUAUGUGCGAAUAAUAUUUAAUUUAAUUAUUACACCUGAUAGCGAAAUAUUUCUCAUCUCCAAAAUUUGUUUUUUUUUUUCGAAUUAUGCAUGAACCUGGUUCCCCCAUUGUCUUGUAGCGAUAUACAAUUUCUAUUGCAAUAAUGGCAUAAGAUAACAAGUAGGUUUCUCGUGAGGUGAAAUUAACAGACAGCAGUGAGCGAUUGCCAUAACCACGAGGUUGAUCUAUCUGUCUUCUCUUUGUUGAUUGGGUGGGAAGGAGAGAAACAGCAUAGUAACGACAGUUCGUUCGAAUGGGGCAUUUUGUAGCCUUGCUGAAAGUUCCAGAAAUGGGAUUGAGCGAAACAGUUUCUUAAAUUGGCAAAACCAAACCGAGAAAAUAUUCUAACACGAUCAAUUCGUGUAAACUCUAUAGGCGUCGCAUUUAAAAAGAAAUACAUACUCAAAUAUAUAUAUGAAAUAUACAAAAUGAUAUGAUGACAACGAUCUAGACCAUGUGGCGAUUACUUUGAUAUCUUUCAAUAAAAAAUUCAUGGGAUGUUUCACUCCAGAAAAAAUGCACCGAUUGUUCAAUUAGAGUUUGGAGUGCGAAUAAAAAAAAAAAGGUAAUCGUUCAACUAUUUCAAAAGAUAUUUAAGACAUAAAAUAUAAAUUUAUAUCGAUAUAUUUAUUUCUUAGUGACAGUAAAACAAAUUCGUUUCUCACGAAUCUAAUUUUUAAUUAUUAAGGAUUGGUGGAACGAAGAUACUAAAAUGUCUUUCAACUGUAAAGGCUCAUGAUCCAUCGAGUUUUAGUAAAUCACAAAUAUUUCCUUCUUCUUAAAUUGUGUAUUUGUUAAAGUAUGCCUACCAGCAGCAUCGUUGGAAAAUUUCUGGAAAAGCAAAAACCGUAACCGCUUGAAAAAGUCUUGGCGGGAAACGAACGAGCGCGACUAAAUAUGAAUCGAGCUCUCGAUAGCAAUACUCUAUAGAUGUACCGCCGAUGCCGGUAGCGGUUGUGGUUGUGGUGGUGGUGGUUUUCCUAGCUUUUCUUUCAGUUUCUCUUCCUGACGCGUGCCCUUCAGCUUCCCCUCGUCUAUUCUGUCUUCUUUCUAGACACGUUCAGCUCGCGUUGCAGCUUUCGAAAUUUUUUUACUUUCCCUCGUCUCUUUCUACGCGUUCCACACCCUCGUUCGGUCCCUUUUCGUUACUCUUUUCCAUUUUCACCCCUCUAUUCCUCUGCCGGUGACUUUUUUCCUUCGCUGCUCGAUUCGCUUCGCGAUAUGACGUAAAAAUGGUACGGGUCUCCGGCUGAAUUUCACGGAAUGGUCUCUGUAAACGCGUGGUCGAGGUAAAUUUAAAUUCGUAAGCAGGAACUGGGAAAUAGCGUAGCUAAAACUACGCGAUCGUUGGAAUAAGAAACGCGAGCAAUGCCGAACUCUCGAAACUUGGCUAUUGUCUUCCGCGAAGUUCCCCGAUUCGAUACCGAUGCGGGGAGAAAGCUGAGAAUUCUUCUCAGAAGUAUAAGAAACCCUGUAUGUGAUCGCAUAUUGAAUACAUGCUAAACAAUAUCGUUUCGCAAAGUUUUUAUAAAAAUGUCUCGCGUCAUGCGUUUCAAUUUUUUAAAUUUGCGCGCUUAUCAAGUUUGUUAGAUGUAACAUAUACGCGCGUAAUGAUUUGUAUAAGUGUGUCGGUGAUUAUGAAAGUGACCUAAAUCGAGGAUCUUAAAAAAAUAAAUUUAUCAUUCAUUUUGAGUUACGUUUAUUAACGUUGUAACAAUCUGAAAAUAUCUUUGCAAAGCAGUAACAAUUGAUGAUACCGUUGCAUUGAGUCGGUUGUUACGUCGUUAACAGAAUUCAGAAUUCGCGAAACUUUAAAUAUCUCGAAACGAAAAAUAUAUGACUCAGGUGGCUUUCAUUGUCACUGGCACAAAUAUGAUUUAUCGAAGCUUUUGUGAUUCUAUGUUUUAUAAUAUAUUCGUUUUAGUUUAUUCAUUUUUCGAUGAAACUGCCUAUCGAAAUUAUUAAUUUGGCAAUUUUUGAGUAAAGGACCGGUAGAUCACUUUAAAAUUGCUUAAUUCAUGAAUUUUACAUGCAACUUUGUAUUAUUUGAACAACAGUUUCAGUGAAAAAUGAUUUAUUUAUACAAAAUUUUCUGUUCCUUAGGAAAUAAAUAUUACAUCAAAAUUUGACAUAUCGGAAACAUUGUUACGUUAGAAUUGAUCAUUAUGAUAUUCCAGCCUGUUACCUUUAACUUGAUAAUUCGAGACUUUUCUGUCCAAACGUUGAAAACUUAAUUAUCCAAACGAUAAUUGAGAAUCAUUUAUUAAGUUUCGAUCUAAAUAUAUUAUUUAUCUUUUAGUUUUGAUAUCUUUCAAGAUAUUUCGAAAUUAAAUUGCUAGUUUAAAUCGUUUAUGAAUGCCACGAGUAAGAAAAUAAAUAUUAGUAGCUUGGAAAAUAAUAGUAACCAAAAGCGGAGAAAAUAGAGAAAGGUGGAAGGAAAAAGAAUAGGAAGCGAAGUAUGAGAAAUAAACUGAAAAUAGUCGGUUUCUAAUCCUGGCGAAGUUCUUGCGUAGGUUCUCUCUCUUGACGUUCCAUCGUAAGAAUAGAAAAGCUUUGCGGAGCGAAGACGAUCUAUUUAGUAACUUCGUUCGCCAUUGUCUCUUUGACUUCGGAUUCCUUUAUUGUUCUGUAAUGCUUUUGUUACAGUUCGUUGGGCUUAAGAGGAUUUAGCCAUUGCAAGUAUCUAUGGCUAGUGUAAGCGUAAAGACGUGCGUUUUUACGUUUUCAAGAGUAAAACGCAUUAACAAGAUAUAUUAUCUACCUUUUUUAUACGAAAUGAUAAGUUAUAAAAUUGCAGUUCUUUCAUAUCGUUAGUGUUCAGAACGAUUAUUAACGAGAAAUAUAAUAUUGAUUUAGAUUUUAUUUAUAUGUAUGAAUCUUAGUUUUGUGUAAAAAGACACUGCAAGGGUGGUAGUCAUUUCUUUGUGAAACAAACCUAGAACACGGUUAAUUUAAAAACUUUCAAAAUUCUUUCUCUAAUUAUAAAUAUGCACGUUUUACUCUACUAUCAAUGCAAUUUACGAUGUAGCGUAUUAUAACACGUUAUAUAAUGUUAUACAUCGAUAUCUUCGUAUCAUUUCGUAUAUUUGAAAAAUAUUAUUUACUUCAUAUUAAUAUAUUUUACCUAAUAUUAUUUACUAUUAUAUUAAUUUAUAUAAUAUCACUGUGUUACAUAAACAGGCAAUAAAAUAUUUAUAAUAAGAUCAAAGGCAAAAGUUAGAGUAAAGAGUUUCAUUUAAAUUAUAUCUUGUAUAUUGGCAAUAAUUUAAGAACGUCUAUAUGUAUAUGGUAUACGUAUACCCACGCAAAGAAAAGAUUAACAUUCCAUAGAAAAGGAAAGAAAAGAAAUAAAACAGAGAAAACAUAAAAAUGCAAUAUCGCGAGCCAAAAGAUUUUCGAAAUUAGACACGUUGUAACGUGAGAUGGGCAACGAUCUCGAGAAGAUUUUGAACAGCCGUAUUCGUUUCCGAUCCCACGACGAUCGAUAAACGAACGUUAUCCUGCGGUUGCAACGGCAGCGACCUGUCGAUUGCACCUGGUCCAGAGAGUGGAGCGUAGUCGCACAUACACCAGUUUGGCGCCGCAACACAGCAUAUCUGGUCCUGUUUGAUGUCCAGGACCGGGUUCCACGGUCCGGAUCAGGAGGGUUAACAGCUGAGGCGGGAGGGGAAAGAGGGAGAGGCAGAGCUCGCUUUCUCGCAUCCGUAUAAGGUUGUGCGUGCAUUGCAACUUGCUAUGCUGUUCGGUGCUCUCUCCUCCUCCUCCUCCUCCUCCUCCUCCUCCUCUCUCUUUCUCUCUUCCUCCCUUUAUGGAAAGUACAGCUUGCACGAAACCUCCGGGCCACGAAUUUGAGACUGGCCAGCCCAUUCGGCCACGCAAUGUGCUAGUAGUAAUUAUCGCGAGAAGGUUGUUUCACCCUGCGGCCAUACUUCUCCGUUGCAAAGCGGAUGCAUCGUGGAUGCAUCACGGACGCGUUGAUACCUCGCUAGGUGUUAUUCAAUUAACAAAACUCUAGAGAAGCGGCUAGACUUUAGCCGUAUUCAAUUCUAAUGUUCAUGCGGGUAUGGGUGUCUUUUGUCGAGCUGUACCGUAACUCUGUUUGCCGUAAUGAGAUUAGCUACGCGUCGACAAUACGCCGAGAAAUUUAUUUCUUUGCAAGGUGCGAGUUUCGUAUCGGGACACGCUCUCUAACAAUGUCUUCAUUUGUCCUCGUUUGUCGCCGAUAACUGCCUUUGAGCUACCUACCGGAUCGGAGUUACCUUUUUAGUGAGGAUUAACGCUGUUGAUAUGAAAGUUGAGAACGUUGUGUACUUUCUUUACCUCGAUUGCUAUGAAACUCACGGUUGCCUCAACAUGAUCUUGACCUGUUAAGACUUGAGAAUGUUAGUGUUUUAAGAGAGUUGCCGAGGACGAAGAGUUCGCUACUAUUUAGGUAUAUCAUACCAUUGCGAUGAACGAAUUUAUGGAAAUAAAUCGUUUGUUGUUUCGAAAUUGAACGUUAAUCGUGCAUCUUGGUAACAAAAUUGAGAAAUUUACAGAAAGUGGAAUCGAUCGUUAACGGGCUUUUAAAAGACUCGAUUGAUUCUUGCCUUCGCUUUACUGUUCGAUGCAGCGAUCUCAGCUCGGAACACGGUCCAUGACAUCGAUUCAAAACGAGUCGAUCCAUUUCUGUAACUAAUAUUUCUACCGCAAACAAUACGAUUACACGGGCAAUUAGCUGGCAAGUCGCGGUCGAACCGCAAAACGAUCCGGACUUGGAGCAAAUCGAGCGAACCCCACGUUCCAGGUAUGUAUUCCUUUAAAAGGCAGAAUGUCGAUGGUAUCAGUGGGGUUAAAAGUGUUGCCUUCUACAUUCCGUUUUCGCACGUGGGGUUGUUAAAACAUCAACAAGUACGACCGCUGCGAUUCUAAGUGCACUCGCAGUUCUACCCAGCAGGAGAGCGUUGCUAUUAUUGUUGCUGGUGCAUUCAUGAGCCUCGACACGCGUGAGACACGUUUCGCGCGGACAAUGCAGAACAAUGGAGUCUUGCCCGGCUAUAUGGAAAAUUAUCUCGAGAUCGAAUUACAUUAAUGUUUCCAUUCCGGACUAUUUACGGCUUGUACACGUCAGUUGCAUUCGAUCCCCUCGCAUUUUCAACGAAAUUUUAACGAGUAUUUGGGAUCAAGACUAUCGAGCAGCGGAGAUCGGCUCGUUUGGUUUUGGGCAUAUUUAAUGGAUGCCGUGGCAGUUAAUUUGUAUCGUGUUUGUCUGCUGUGCGCGUAAUACGAAGUACAUUGUGAUGCAAAACGUAUGUAUUGUUAAAUUGAACAUCAGACUGUCUACCGUUGAUACAAGAUGAUCUUGAUUUUCUGUUAAAAUCGGUUUCUUGUUAAACCCAUUGUAUCCACAGACGAGAUAUCUACAUUAGGAGGUAACUCAUACGACAAAGCAGUACAAGGAUUCUAAAUAUUGUAGUCUUGUUAUUGGGUAAUAAUUCCUCUUCUUUUAUUCAGUAUUUGAAAAUUUUAUUUAUUUAUUUAUUCUUUUAAACCAGAUAGCCCUGUCUCUCCGCUCUCUGUGUCACUUCUUUCUUAUGCAACCCUGAUAUCGACGGUCUAAAGUCUGAAACAUAUUCAUAAUUUUCUUCAGCAAUGCUCUGUAAGAAAUUAAUGUUACAACUAAAUAGUAAUAAUUAAUUCCAUUUCCAUUUCACUUGUACAAAUAUCUACAAUAGUCGUAUAGAUAAAGCGUGUUUAUCUCAUUCUGCUCGCUAAUAAUCUUGCAAGGUGCACGUGACCUUAAACUUUUAAUUAAGAAAAAAAAAAAAAAGAAAAGAUGGUAAGAUUACGUAAAUUUUUUCGAUAGUCUUUCGAAUGUCUAAAUCGGACGAUCAUAGUUUUUAUACUUACGAUGAGAGGCAAGCGAAGUUUCCUUCGUUGGAAUCGUAGGAUUAACUUUGGUGACUAAUAGAUAGAAAAUGCCAGAUAUCUUUCGAACUGUCUCUGGCAGUAAAAUUCGAAAGACAAGAUAUCUCAAGUUUGUCUGGGAUAUGUUAAUGAAAAGACACGCCUGAUAUCCCGUCGAAAGUGUCGCACGAAAGACAGGUUGCGUCACGAAAUAUCUUAUCCGUGGAUGGGAAAGGGUUAAAUGCACGAUUAAAAGUUGCCAGCGAACGUGACAACGUCCUCGGAGCAAGCAUUACGCACUCAUGUUUUACGUGUGUCUGCAAAGGGUAUCGUUGAUAGAGUUACGAGCUUAAGUGCCGCGGAGCUUGUAAUAUUUUUAAUUGUACGAUUCAAUUAUGUCGGGUCGAAUUUCCGUGGAUAAUUGCAGUGCGAAAAGUUACGAUAGACCGCUCGAGACGAUAGCGAAUCCCUAAAUUUUACCUUUGAUUUUGCUAAAAGAAGAUUGCGGCUAGUGACGUGAUUUGAAAUAAUUUAAAUUUCUUCGAAUUUAUACGCAUACGCUAUAGUUUUAUAUUUUUAGGUACGCUAGUUUUACAAUUAGAUUUCGUAGAUUUGUAUAUAUUUUUAUCAAUGUAAUUGAAGAAAUAGAACUUAAGGGGAGAUUUGUUUCGCCCAUUAAAUAUUUUAUCGAGUAGGAUAUUUCGAAUAUUUUGUACGUCUUUGCAUAUUAUAAGCAUUCUGUGCUUUUUUGUACCUCUGACUUUAUUCAUAAAUGCACGAAUAUCCGCGAUCUAUCAACAAUUGAUCAGCUAAUUUAAUAAAUUUGUGUGAAAAGUAUAUGAAUAUAUUCAGUCGAAUUUUUAAAUUAAUAUCAAUUAAUGUGAAUUUAAAUGCUAUUCAGAAUAUUUGAUAGAUUUCUGGUAGUAGUGCGUAAUGGGAUAUGUUUAACGUUUAAAAGCAUGUAUCUAAGGAUUAAAAAAAGAAAACGUUAAUAAGAAAUGAGAAAUAUAAAUGUACAAAUAAUGUAAAACUGAUUUACUUCACUUUUCACGUAGUACCUAUGUCUAAAUUAAUCAGUAAUCUAAUUAAAAAGAAUACUCUUAGAUUAAAUUAGGAGAUCAUAAAAAGCAAAUAACCUUUGAAAUAAACAAUGUGUUAACAUAUAAUUCAUAUUCUCAACUAUUCGACAAAUCACAACUCGGACUCGUAUUUAGCAUGUAGUGGCUAAAAUAUCGAAUCACAUUCGAAAUGAUUGAAUUCGUACAGUAUUAGAAAAUCUCGAAGGAACAUGGAACGAAGUAUCAAACAGAAAUCGCUACUUAGCGAUAGCAUUCUCAAUUAAGAAUCUUCGUUCUUGGAUCGUGUUCUUCCGAGCACGUUUUCGGCUCCGCGUGUGGCGAGCUGCUGGAGGGAGAAAAAGAUUUUUGCACGUGUUGGGCGGGCCAGGUCAUCGGCCUGCAUCGCAGUAAUUUAUUUUAAACUCAUGACAGAACGUCGGACAAAAUUUCUCUCGGCGUUGCGCAACGCCGUCAGUUUCGGUUGUCUCUGUCGUGUGUUUAUCGUUCUCUCGUGACCAAUUAGUAAAAUCGGCGCCUGGAUAAGAAUAUUUCAUUUCAAUCGCUUCGCGCGUUCAGUUUCCUUACGUUCACUGCAAAUAUCUCGCGUUACUAAUUAUAAAUGCGUAUUAGGGAACUAUAGAGCUACAAUCGUAUUAACAGGUUUUUAAAACUUUUGCACUCUAAUAUCGCAUUGACGUUCAAUUAAUAUCCAUACUCGAUUUAUAUUACAUAUAUGUAUGUAUGUAAAAUACGAUUAAUAAGGAUCAGAAAGUGUAAAAUCCUCUUGUAGACUGUGUUUAACUCUUUGAGUGUUCACUAAAAUAACCAAACAUCUAGGAGCAUCGGGAUGUAAUUAAUUUCAAGAUAGUAUUCAGUUUUCUCAGAUAAAUAAUCUAAAUUUAUAAAUAUAGUCUGUUAAUUCGAGAUUAUUCGUCGUUAAUUUGUUUAAAAUAUAUACUGUGGCUCGUGAAAAUAUUUUAACACUUAUACAAAAAAUUUUGCAAGUCAUACGACAUGAUAUGACUAAUAUAAUCAUACUUGCCAGUUACUUAUUACAUUAAUAAGUCUCGAUAUUUAGUUGGAUUGCUUUUAUUAUAUGUUUACAACAUAGUUAUUCAUACUGUAUGCUAAUCUUUCAGUAACUGCAUAUUCGCAAUAAAUAUUUUCUAACUUUCAUAUGUAUUUUUAGAUAACUUUCAUCAAUAUAUAUAUGAUAACAUACUUCAUUAUAGCGUUAAGAAAAUUUCAAAUUAUUUUAUAUAACACGUAUAAUAUGUACAAAACAAUUUGCUAUCGUAAGUGAUUGAAUACUUUCGUGAACCGAUAAACGCUCAUAAACGAUGUACAAACUGAACACUCAGAGGGUUAAGGAAGAGUAGUAUUUGAUGAUCGAGUGUUUGGAACAUAAUCUUGUCUAUUUUGCGAUAUUUAAUUAUCGUAGUAAAAUUGUUAACAUUGGACAAGGUUUAAACGCAGAAAACAAAUUAAUUUUAUGUACAGCGCUCUUUUUCAAGUGGCUUAUAAUACAAAAGAGAGAAAACUAUCUUUAAUCAACGUAGCAUUUAAAAUUAUUUUUUUUUCGGAACAGAAUAUGAUUUUAAAUUGGCGAAUAAUAAGCGCUCAAGUAUAUACGGAUCAUUAGCUUGCCACUAGAGGAUGAAAUUGUGGUUCUUUUUGUUUGUAAUACCGUAACUAAAUUGCAUUCUGUAAAAAGUAAGCAAACGUUCAUAUACUUUUGAGCGGAUGUGUACACCACCAAGUGCGGAUUAGGAUUUUGAAAAAAAAAAAAAAAGAAUAA